rnacentral:tRNA from 1 species
CAAAAAGUAGCUUACCACUAAAGCACCCGACUUACAAACGGAAGACGUCUUCUGUACCUUUUUGA